rnacentral:rRNA from 1 species
UACGGAGGAUCCAAGCGUUAUCCGGAUUUAUUGGGUUUAAAGGGUGCGUAGGCGGAUUAGUAAGUCAGUGGUGAAAGCCUGCAGCUUAACUGUAGAAUUGCCAUUGAUACUGCUAGUCUUGAAUGUAGUUGAGGUAGGCGGAAUAUGACAUGUAGCGGUGAAAUGCUUAGAUAUGUCAUAGAACACCGAUUGCGAAGGCAGCUUGCUAAACUAUUAUUGACGCUGAGGCACGAAAGCGUGGGGAG